rnacentral:lncRNA from 1 species
CGUACAGUUUAGUAUAUUACACACAAAUAAUAUAAUAUAUUACAAUAUAUUAUAAAAAUUAUACAAUAUAUGUACAAACGGUGCAUAUUUUAUACUAUUUAUACAUAUAUUUCACUAUUUCUGUAAAUGUUGCACUAUUAUGAGAGAAUGUUGCACCAUUUAGAUGUGUGUUGCACUCUUUCUUUUUGAAAAUUAAAUUUCAUUACAUAUUAAAUAAAGUGUCAAACUUCUUAAAAAUGACAACUGCUAAGCCAUAAUUACAGGCAUGUACCUUUCUCGUGAAACGAGAAACAUCAUUCAAGAGAAAAUAAAAAAAUAAAGAUUAAUUAAUAAGAUGAAAGAGUGCAAUAUCCUCUCAAAUAGUGCAACAAUCUCUUCAAAAUAGUGCAAUAUCUAUAUAAUUAGUGCAACGUAUGUAUUGUUAAUACAUUUUGCAUGGUUUUUACACUAAGUUACUUACAGUUUAGUAUAUUACGCUAAAAUAAUAUAAUAUAUUACAAUAUAUUUUAAAAAUUAUACAAUAUAUAUAUACAAACGGUGCAUAUUUUACACUAUUUAUACAUAUAUUUUCACCAUUUGUGUCAAUGUUGCACUAUUAUAAGAGAAUGUUGCACCAUUUAUAUGUGUGUUGCACUCUUUCUUUUUGAAAAUUAAAUUUUAUUGCAUAUUAUAUAAAGUGUCAAAUUUCUUGGAAAUGACAAGUGCUAAGCCAUAAUUAUAUGUAUCUUUCUCGUGAAACGAGAAUUCUCAUUCAAGAUAAAAUAAAAAGAACAAAGUGUAACUAAUAAGAUGAAAGAGUGCAACAUCCUCUCAAAUAGUACAACAUGCUCUUCAAAAUAGUGCAAUAUCUGUAUAAGUAGUGCAACAUAGGCAUUGUUAAUACACAUUUUACAUAAUUUUUACACUAAAUUACAUACAGUUUAAUAUAUUACGCGAAAAUAAUAUGCAACAUAUAAUAUAAUAAACUGUAUCUAAUUAAUUUAGUGUAAAAAUUAUACAAAAUGUGUAUUAACAAUGCAUAUUAUACAGUUGCACUAUUUUGAAGAGCUUGUUACACUAUUUGAGAGGAUGUUGCACUCUUUCAUCUUAUUAAUUAUUCUUUAUUCUUUUUAUUUUCUCUUGAAUGAGGCUUCUCGUUUCACGAGAAAGGUACAUGCAUGUAAUUAUGACUUAGCAGUUGUCAUUUCCAAGAAGUUUUACACUUCAUUUAAUAUGCAAUGAAAUUUAAUUUUCAAAAAGAAAGAGUGCAACACACAUCUAAAUGGUGCAACAUCCUCUCAUAAUAGUGCAACAUUUACACAAAUGGUGUAAAUAUAUGUAUAAAUAGUGUAAAAUAUGCACCGUUUGUACAUAUAUUAUAUAAUUUUUAUAAUAUAUUGUAAUAUAUUAUAUUAUUUUCGCGUAAUAUACUAAACUGUACGUAACUUAGUGUAAAAAUCAUGCAAAAUGUGUAUUAACAAUGCAUAUGUUGCACUAAUUAUACAGAUAUUGCACUAUUUUGAAGAGAUUGUUGCACUAUUUGAGAGGAUAUUGCACUCUUUCAUCUUAUUAAUUAAUCUUUAUUUUUUUUUAUUUUCUCUUGAAUGAGGUUUCUCGUUUCACGAGAAAGGUACAUGUAUAUAAUUAUGCCUUAGCAGUUGUAAUUUCCAAGAAGUUUGACACUUUGUUUAAUAUGCAAUAAAAUUUAAUUUUCAAAAAAAAAGAGUGCAAUUCACAUCUAAAUGGUGCAACAUUCUCUCAUAAUAGUGCAAUAUUUACAGAAAUGAUGUAAAUAUAUGUAUAAAUAAGUAUAAAAUAUGCACCGUUUAUACAUAUAUUGUAUAAUUUUUAUAGUAUGUUGUAAUAUUAUAUAUUAUUUUUUCGUAAUAUACUAAAUUAUGCGUAAUUUAGUGUAAAAAUUAUGCAAAAUGUGUAUUAACAAUGCAUAUGUUGCACUACUUAUACAGAUAUUGCACUAUUUUGAAGAAGAGAUUGUUGCACUAUUUGAGAGGAUAUUUCACUCUUUUCUAUUAAUUAAUCUUUAUUUUUUUUAUUUUCUCUUUAAUGAGGUUUCUUGUUUUACAAGAAAGGUACAUGUAUAUAAUUAUGGCUUAGCAGUUGUCAUUUCCAAGAAGUUUUAUACAUAAUGGCUUAGCAGUUGUAUUUUUCUAGACAUUUAAAGUAUAUAAUUUUUAUAAAUUUUGAAAGAGCGGUAGUUUGGUCAUCCUUCUGAAAAUUCGGCUCGAAUCUGCAAAAACUAAAAAGGUGGCCCACUUUUGCAAAAGUGCAAAAUUAGUGGAUUUUU